UACGUAGGGCGCAAGCGUUGUCCGGAAUUAUUGGGCGUAAAGAGCUCGUAGGCGGCUUGUCGCGUCGGUUGUGAAAGCCCGGGGCUUAACUCCGGGUCUGCAGUCGAUACGGGCAGGCUAGAGUGUGGUAGGGGAGAUCGGAAUUCCUGGUGUAGCGGUGAAAUGCGCAGAUAUCAGGAGGAACACCGGUGGCGAAGGCGGAUCUCUGGGCCAUUACUGACGCUGAGGAGCGAAAGCGUGGGGAGCGAACAGG
rnacentral:rRNA from 1 species